UCCUAGCCCUGAUGGGAGCGGCAUCCUUUUGUGUCCGCCGCGGCGGACAUAAAAGAUAUAGCGUACAGCAGGAAUUAGC
rnacentral:sRNA from 1 species